AGUCAAAGUAGGAAGACCCAAUUUUAAGACGAAAAAUUUAUUUUACCUUUCAUUCCUCAACCGUUCGUCGUACUACCAUGAAAUUUGGUUUUAAGAUGCGCAUUACUAACAUCUACAUCUCCUGAUUUUUUCAAUAUUUUAUUGCAAUUCUAACCUAUCAAGAAUUCAAUUGAGCCAACCAACUCGAACGCCAGAUCGCCCCACUCUCCCCUAUGGGAUCACCCCGCGCCGUUCCAUAAGUAAAAAAGGUAGCAGAGCGCCAGUGGUGAGUGAUCAACUAGGAAAAAUUCAACCGCUUUAAUAGAUACCAGCUGCUCUGAUUCAAACUUGGAAAGUUUGGUUUUAAAUCGGCCGCCGUCAUGAAACUGACGACUACCAUUCCCAUUUUUCUCUGCUGUCUUCUCCAUAACGCUUUAGCAGGAGAAAAUGUGAUAAAUGACCAAGAGCGAAUUUUAGAAGGAACUAAAGCUCAAGAAGGAGAAUUCCCAUUUGUCGUUUCCAUCACGACAAACGGUGAGCACCUCUGCGCCGGAUUUAUUUACAAUCCGCGAUUUAUCGUCGCGACAGUCACAUGCGUCCAAAAGUAAAAAGAAAAUCUAAAAAUUACAAUUAAUUCCAGGAUAAAUAUUUGUCAAUAUCCAACAGUUUGUCACCGUCGCAAGUUUCAGUUGUUGUAGGACAAUUGUCUCUCAUCUCCAGCACCGAGCCGUACGAGCGUCGAUAUCAAGUCAUCAGCAUCAUUCCACACGAGAACUAUGACGCGAAUCUAGGCUUGAAUAAUCUGGCAGUCAUCGAGACAUCUUCGUCAAUGGCAUUCACUGCGGGCCAUGUCGACUUCAUCUGCUACAACGAAGAUAACACGACUUUUCCAGAAGCUACUGUCAUGGGCUUGGGUGCUACUCAGGUCUCUGUCCUCUUAUUAUGCGUGGUUGAACCGGAAUGCUGGCCAACAACCACCGGCUUGCAGUGCAGCCUAAAUU